GAGGUUCCGGUUCACGCCGUGGCGACAGGCGCCUGGCGACCCGGCGACC
rnacentral:ncRNA from 1 species